rnacentral:rRNA from 1 species
UACGAACUGCGCGAACGUUAUUCGGAAUCACUGGGCUUACAGGGUGCGUAGGCGGCUUGUCAAGUAGGGUGUGAAAGCCCCCGGCUCAACCGGGGAAUUGCGCCCUAAACUGGCGAGCUAGAGUGAGAUAGGGGUGUGUGGAACUUCCGGUGGAGCGGUGAAAUGUGUUGAUAUCGGAAGGAACGCCGGUGGCGAAAGCGACACACUGGAUCUUGUCUGACGCUGAGGCACGAAAGCCAGGGGAGCGAACGGG